rnacentral:misc_RNA from 1 species
UUUCCGUAGGUGAACCUGCGGAAGGAUCAUUAUCGAAUGAACUUGGCGUGAUUGUAGCUGGUCCUUUCGAGGGCAUGUGCACAUCUGUCAUCUUCAUCUUUCCACCUGUGCACCAAUUGUAGGUCUAAAAAACUUUCCCCGAGACACUCGGGGGAGCAUGGGGCGUUGCUGUGUGUUACCACCAGCUUGCCCUGCAUUUUCUAGAUCUAUGUUUUCACAUACACCAUAAAAUGUAAUAGAAUGUUAUUAUUGGGCUUUUAUUGCCUAUAAACUAUAUACAACUUUCAGCAACGGAUCUCUUGGCUCUC